UACGUAGGGACCAAGCGUUGUUCGGAUUUACUGGGCGUAAAGGGCGCGUAGGCGGCAAUUCAAGUCAGCUGUGAAAUCUCCGGGCUUAACUCGGAACGGUCAGCUGAUACUGCUUUGCUAGAGUGCAGAAGGGGCAAUCGGAAUUCUUGGUGUAGCGGUGAAAUGCGUAGAUAUCAAGAGGAACACCUGAGGUGAAGACGGGUUGCUGGGCUGACACUGACGCCGAGGCGCGAAAGCUAGGGGAGCAAACGGG
rnacentral:rRNA from 1 species